rnacentral:rRNA from 1 species
UACGUAGGGGGCUAGCGUUGUCCGGAAUCAUUGGGCGUAAAGCGCGUGUAGGCGGUCCGGCAAGUCCGCUGUGAAAUUCGGGGGCUCAACCCUCGAAUGCCGGUGGAUACUGUCGGGCUAGAGUGCGGAAGAGGCGAGUGGAAUUCCUGGUGUAGCGGUGAAAUGCGCAGAUAUCAGGAGGAACACCAAUUGCGAAGGCAGCUCGCUGGGACGUUACUGACGCUGAGACACGAAAGCCAGGGGAGCAAACGGG